rnacentral:rRNA from 1 species
UACGAACUGUGCGAACGUUAUUCGGAAUCACUGGGCUUACAGGGUGCGUAGGCAGCUUGUCAAGUAGGGUGUGAAAGCCCCCGGCUCAACCGGGGAAUAGCGCCCUAAACUGGCGAGCUAGAGUGAGAUAGGGGUGUGUGGAACUUCCGGUGGAGCGGUGAAAUGUGUUGAUAUCGGGAGGAACACCAGUGGCGAAGGCGGUUGCCUGGGGCUUUGCUGACGCUGAUGCGCGAAAGCUAGGGGAGCAAACAGG